ACCCGCUGAACUUAAGCAUAUCAAUAAGCGGAGGAAAAGAAACCAACUGGGAUUGCCCUAGUAACGGCGAGUGAAGCGGCAACAGCUCAAAUUUGAAAUCUGGCUCCCUUUGGGGGUCCGAGUUGUAAUUUGCAGAGGGUGCUUUGGCGUUGGUGGCGGUCUAAGUUCCUUGGAACAGGACAUCGCAGAGGGUGAGAAUCCCGUAUGUGGUCGCCUGCCUUCGCCGUGUAAAGCCCCUUCGACGAGUCGAGUUGUUUGGGAAUGCAGCUCUAAAUGGGAGGUAAAUUUCUUCUAAAGCUAAAUACCGGCCAGAGACCGAUAGCGCACAAGUAGAGUGAUCGAAAGAUGAAAAGCGCUUUGGAAAGAGAGUCAAACAGCACGUGAAAUUGUUGAAAGGGAAGCGCUUGCAGCCAGACUUGCCCGUAGUUGCUCACCUGGAUUUCUAUCCGGGGCAUUCUUCUGCGGGCAGGCCAGCAUCAGUUUGGGCGGUCGGAUAAAGGCCUCUGUCAUGUAUCUUCCUUCGGGAUGACCUUAUAGGGGAGGUGUAAUGCGAUCAGCCCGGACUGAGGUCCGCGCUUCGGCUAGGAUGCUGGCGUAAUGGCUGU
rnacentral:rRNA from 1 species